GCGUAGCUCAGUUGGCAGAGCAUCCGACUGUUAAUCGGACGGUCGCUGGUUCAAGCC
rnacentral:tRNA from 1 species